UCCGUAGGCGGUCAAUUAAGUCAGAGGUGAAAUCCCACAGCUCAACUGUGGAACUGCCUUUGAUACUGGUUGUCUUGAGUUACAGUGAAGUAGAUAGAAUAUGUAGUGUAGCGGUGAAAUGCAUAGAUAUUACAUAGAAUACCGAUUGCGAAGGCAGUCUACUAACUGUAUACUGACGCUAAUGGACGAAAGCGUGGGGAGCGAACAGGAUUAGAUACCCUGGUAGUCC
rnacentral:rRNA from 1 species